rnacentral:tRNA from 3 species
GAGAUUGUGAUGGAAUGGUAGACAUUGUGGACUUAAAAUCCGCUGAUUUUAUAAUCGUGAGGGUUCGACUCCCUCCAAUCUCA